rnacentral:rRNA from 1 species
CCUACGGGGGGCUGCAGUGGGGAAUAUUGGACAAUGGGGGCAACCCUGAUCCAGCCAUGCCGCGUGUGUGAAGAAGGCCCUCGGGUUGUAAAGCACUUUCAGUGAGGAAGAACGCCUGGUGGUUAAUACCCAUCAGGAAAGACAUCACUCACAGAAGAAGCACCGGCUAACUCCGUGCCAGCAGCCGCGGUAAUACGGAGGGUGCGAGCGUUAAUCGGAAUUACUGGGCGUAAAGCGCGCGUAGGUGGCUUGAUAAGCCGGUUGUGAAAGCCCCGGGCUCAACCUGGGAACGGCAUCCGGAACUGUCAGGCUAGAGUGCAGGAGAGGAAGGUAGAAUUCCCGGUGUAGCGGUGAAAUGCGUAGAGAUCGGGAGGAAUACCAGUGGCGAAGGCGGCCUUCUGGACUGACACUGACACUGAGGUGCGAAAGCGUGGGUAGCAAACAGGAUUAGAUACACUUGUAGUC